rnacentral:rRNA from 1 species
AUAGCCGUUGGAAACGACGAAUAAUACCCUAUGACAUAAACUCUUCGCAUGAAGAAACUUAUCAAAGAUUUAUCGGUGUAAGAUGGACUCGCGUCUGAUUAGCUAGUUGGUGAGGUAACGGCCCACCAAGGCGACGAUCAGUAGCCGGCUUGAGAGAGUGUACGGCCACAUUGGGACUGAGACACGGCCCAGACUCCUACGGGAGGCAGCAGUU